rnacentral:tRNA from 1 species
GCAGUCGUGGCCGAGUGGUUAAGAAAUCCAUUGGGGUCUCCCCGCACAGGUUCGAAUCCUGUCAACUGCG